UCCGGAUGUCCAGCGUCUCACCGCGAUACUUCUCCGCGUCCCACCGUGAUUCUCUGUCUCCACGUCUCACUGCGAUCCUGUCUCUGUGUCUCACCGCGAUCUCUGUCUCCGCGUCUCACCGCGAUCUCUGUCUUCGCAUCUCACCGCGAUUCCGUCUCCGCGUCUCACCGCGAUACCUCUUGUCCGGCUUCUGGGAAAACAUAAGAACAUGGAAAGCAUGGUAGAGCUGCUUCAACUGUAUCAAAUGGAAGAUGAAGCCUACAAUAGUCUUGCAGAAGCUACCACAGAGCUCUACCAGUACUUACUACAGCUGUUCCGAGAUAUGACGGAACUUGCAAUGCUUAGAAGACAGCAGAUAAAGAGGAGCACUUUUGAAGAGUGAGAGCAUCUCUGACAUGUAGUUAAUCAUCACCUGUUCAACUUCCUGCGCUUCACACUUUAAAUUCAUUGUUGGAUUUAAUAGCUAAAACAUGACAUUUUGUGAUUACUGGGAAUACUGGCUAUUAUAUAAAUUUGAGACAUAUGUUGUACAGUAUCUAUAUUACUGUUAAUUCUUCUAGAAGAUUCUACAGGAAGUUACUUUUCAUUUUAAUUUUGAGAUAAUCUGAUAAACCACUAGUAGUCAGUAGCUACUCAUCUCAUAUUGUGAAACACUUAAAACAUGGAAGUGUAUUAAAAGUAUGUAAUUUGUAACACUUCAACAGUAUAUUUUCCUAAGAGCUAAAAUACUAUAUCUAGCUGAAGAAUACUACAUUUUGGUAAGCAGCAAAUAAGUUGAUAAUUCAUCUAAUUCAGAUUUUUUUUUAAAAUGUAGAAUGGUUGAUUAGUUUGUGCUGCUUUUUCAAGCUCCUUUAAGCAGAUAUUAGUGUAGUGGAAAAUGUAACUCAGAUGUAUACUGAUUUAUUUGUUUUAAUACUUGAUGGUGAAAUGCAGUAGUGAACCUUACAGCUAAUUUGAAUUUGACUUGUGUAAAAUGAAGUACUUUGAAAUAAAUUGGUAUAUUUAAUGUUUCAAAUUUUGGUUUAAAAAAAACGUUUUCAUAGAAUCAUUCAGGUUGGAAAAGACCUCUAAGAUCAUGUAGUCCAACCUGUAACCU